AUACGGAGGAUGCAAGCGUUAUCCGGAUUUAUUGGGUUUAAAGGGUGCGUAGGCGGUUUGCUAAGCGGGAGGUGAAAUGCCGGCGCUCAACGUCGGAAGUGCCUCCCGAACUGGUGGACUGGAAUGACUCUGCCGUGGGAGGAAUGUGUAGUGUAGCGGUGAAAUGCUUAGAGAUUACACAGAACACCGAUUGCGAAGGCAUCUCACGAAGGGUUGAUUGACGCUGAGGCACGAAAGCGUGGGGAUCAAACAGGAUUAGAUACCCUGGUAGUCCACGCAGUAAACGAUGAUGGCUAACCGCUGGGCUUAUCAGUUCAGUGGCCAAGCGAAAGCGAUAAGCCAUCCACCUGGGGAGUACGACCGCAAGGUGGGAACUCAAAUGAAUUGACGGGG
rnacentral:rRNA from 1 species